UUUGCACUGGUGGUAGUAUACUUUGCGAUUGCUACUGUGGUCUCGAUUCGGGGAUGUAGGAGGAAACCCAUUCAGACUGGGGAGAAGGAUAAUUUACUGAAAAAAGGACACGGAAGAGAAGCUUGGAUUUCUAGAAAAUCUACUGCAAAUCAUCUAUCAGUUCAUUAUUGUGAUUGAGUUUAUCAUCUUGGCGGAUCAAGUAGAUGGGAGUCGAUGAGCUAUGAGGACUACUACAAACGAGAAGGCUGAAGCAGAGAACGUCGUUUCAAAUGUCUAGCAAGUUGCGCGCAUUUGUAAUAUUUUUUAAUUAAACAUCUAGCUAAAUAGAAUAUAUGUGAAGUUUUCAUUAUAUUUGGAUGAUAAUGUAUGAAUAUUUUGGAUGAUAUAUAAUAUUGUUAUUGUUGAUUUUA